rnacentral:rRNA from 1 species
UACGUAGGGGCCGAGCGUUGUCCGGAGUUAUUGGGCGUAAAGCGUGCGCAGGCGGUUCGUUGUGUCGGCGGUGAAAGCCCCGGGCUUAACCUGGGAAUGGCCGUUGAAACUGGCGAACUGGAGUGUGGCAGAGGGGGGUGGAAUUCCGCGUGUAGCAGUGAAAUGCGUAGAGAUGCGGAGGAACACCGAUGGCGAAGGCAGCCCCCUGGGCUAACACUGACGCUCAGGCACGAAAGCGUGGGGAGCAAACAGG